GUGACGUGGCGUUACCAAGCGCUGAAAUUAAAAGCUGAGAACUUCUACUCAGAUCCAAGGUUGCUUGGAGGGGAUAGAUGGAUAUGGUGAUGGAUGGUUAACGCCGUCCUGUCUUGGCCAAACUCAGCAGUCAGUUGUCCCAUAUGGGCUAAAGAAGCUGGACCAUGUGUUUACGGUCUCUCUUCCUACAGCUGACCACCCCUGCAUCCAUGGGCGGAUAUAAGACCAUGGUGUCUCUGGGCAUAUACAUGUGGAAGCCAUGGGGCCUCCGUAAUCCAUCCAUGCCUGCAUCAUCUUUUGUACCUUCAAUCAACAUCAUAGUGGAUUUUGUUUACCUAACUUUAAGAAUUUGUAUUCUAAGUAAAUCUCUUGCCUGGACCUCCUCCUCACAUUCUUUGAGCCAGUUUGUAACUCCCAUUUUCAUGCACAGAAUUUGUAAAUAUGAUACAUUUUAAAAGCUUUUUGCAAGAGUUUCUUUUAGUACAACUGUAACAUCAUGUUGUUUUUUUCAAUAUGGAUUAUUUUAUUUUAUUUUUUUAUUUGAACUUUAUUUACCCAGGAGAAUCCCUUUGAAACUGUGAAUCUCUUUUUAAGGGAGACCUGACCAAGACAGGCAGCAGCAAAUAAAAACACAGACAGAAAACACUACAAGAAAUAAAAUAAAAUUAAAGCUGCGAAGCAGCGUUGGUAGGGACCUCGGCCCCUCGCCGUCGUCCCCCAAAACCAAACUACUGACGAGGAAAUCAAUCAAUCACAUUAAUAUCACAAAUCACAAUUUGCCUCACAGGGCUUUACAGCACACAACAUCCCUCUGUCCUCAAGACCCAAUGAUACAGAAAGGGAGAGAGAGAUAGAGAUGUAUGACAGAUGAUAAUGACAGUAAAGUUUGUCAGUACUUAGAAUUGGAGUAAAUUGCAGGACAAGUUCGUGUAAUUAUAAAGAAGAGUUUUAUUUACAGGUGUAAAAGGCAUACUGGUGAAUAAGAAAAAUUGCGUCUCGGCAGGUCUUCAGGGUGAUUGUUCAGGCUGUUUCAUUCUGUGUGUCUUCUUCAUCUAUAACAGAGCAGAAUAUUGAGAUAGUUAGGUAGUAUUCAUUCAAUACAGGUACAUGUAAAGGUAGG